AUGCCUACACAUCUACCCCACAGCCCACGCAGGCCGAGGCACUGCAGAUCGGUGUGCGAUGGGAUCACCGAACGAUCCUGGAUCUGUGAUAUGCAUGGUUCCCUGGGACUGUCCGCCACGAUCGAAUACUUUGGUCUAUGGUCGCGUAUUCAGCAGAUCGAGCUUUCUGACGUGCCCGACAAGAUCUCUUGGAACUUGACCCAGAACGAGCAAUACACGAAUGGCUCCACCAUCACGCUCAAUUGGCGGCCCAUAUGGAAGUGUUGGGCACCGAUGAACGUCAAGUUUUUCUCUUGUUAG
rnacentral:rRNA from 1 species